UACGUAGGUGGCAAGCGUUGUCCGGAUUUAUUGGGUUUAAAGGGUGCGUAGGCGGCAUUUUAAGUCAGUGGUGAAAUACUUCAGCUUAACUAGAGAGGUGCCAUUGAUACUGGGAUGCUUGAGUACUGAUGAGGUAGGCGGAAUGGACGGUGUAGCGGUGAAAUGCUUAGAUAUCGUCCAGAACACCGAUAGCGAAGGCAGCUUACUAAGGAGUAACUGACGCUGAGGCACAGAAAGUGG
rnacentral:rRNA from 1 species